UAUAUCUUGGUGUAUGGUGCACGGUAGCUUUUGAUGCUUGACGGGGAUAGUUUGAUUCUGUUAGAUGUAA
rnacentral:tRNA from 1 species